GGGUUCAGGCGGCUGCUGGGUCCCUGAGUCAGGCCGACCAGGAGCCUGGUUGUCUAUAACAUGGCCUGCGGCACCCGCAGGAGGAGAGCCCGGGACCGCGUCCCUUCUGUAACCUCCCUAUGAGGAGACAAGGAGGGACCAGGCAGUGCCCUCGGGUCUUAACCGCAUUCUCACUCCUGGAGCGACGGGCGGCAAAGGAGGCCUAGGUACAGGGCUCGGGAGGCUUUGUACCAGGAUGUGGACGGGAGACGUAACUCCGAAACCCACCGGAUGGGCUGCGUAGAGCUGUGGGGCCACGCUGCACCUCGGGUCGAUUUGUCUCCGAAGGGGAAGGCUGGAUCCCACAGAUAGCUGGUGGCGCUUGGGACCUGCCAUUGAGACUCUCCGGGGACAGGCGCCCUCCUCAGGCCCCUACUGUGCCUUCGGAUUUCAACCUGCUUCCUCAUGGCCCCACAGGAAUCUGUUUGUCUCCACCUGCCCCGGUUCUAGGAUGCAGGGUUACAUGAACAAAUAAUUUAUGGCUUGUUGACGCUGCCUCCAGGCAGGCCCCCCUGCUGCUCCAGAGAGGAUGUGAGAGACCAGAUGAAGGAGCUGAGACCCCUGAUGAGUGGCUGUGCCCCAGCCUGGGAGAGGGCACCUGGUCGGAAGCAGACAAGGCGCCCACGAUCCAUACGGGAAUUGCACACAGAGGCAGUGUCGUCCCUGCAGCCACCCACUUGAAACCCAACCUUAGCUUUGCUGCUUCUGAUUGUAAGUCACCGGACGUCUCUGUGCUUCGUUUUGUCCACUUAAAAAACAGCAAUAAAAAAUAGGACUCACUUCCUAAUUGAAUGAGUUA